rnacentral:rRNA from 1 species
GAUGAACGCUAGCUACAGGCUUAACACAUGCAAGUCGCGGGGCAGCAUGGGGGUUGCUUGCAAUCCCCGAUGGCGACCGGCGCACGGGUGAGUAACGCGUAUCCAACCUGCCCUUCACCACGGGAUAACCCGGCGAAAGUCGGACUAAUACCGUAUGUUGUCCAUUGACGGCAUCCGAUUUGGACGAAAGGCUUGGCGGUGAGGGAUGGGGAUGCGUCCGAUUAGCCAGACGGCGGGGUAACGGCCCACCGUGGCUACGAUCGGUAGGGGUUCUGAGAGGAAGGUCCCCCACACUGGAACUGAGACACGGUCCAGACUCCUACGGGAGGCAGCAGUGAGGAAUAUUGGCCAAUGGGCGUAAGCCUGAACCAGCCAAGUAGCGUGCAGGAUGACGGCCCUAUGGGUUGUAAACUGCUUUUAUGCGGGGAUAAAGUGGCCCACGUGUGGGCUUUUGCAGGUACCGCAUGAAUAAGGACCGGCUAAUUCCGUG